ensembl:lncRNA
AUGAAUAGCACUGUCAGGAGAUAAUUUCUCAUGGUUGAAGAAAUCUUUUAUUCUGCAGGGAAGUGAAGUAACCUGGCAUUAUGGGCCUGUGCCAGAUUCUGCUGCAGACAAUGGAGUGAUUUCAGAGGCCACUGAGUCUGGAAGGAAGAAUGACAACCCACAAUUGGCUCAAAUGAGUCCUCCCAUUGCUCACUGCUGAUGUAAUGCAGCAGAAGAGGGCUGGAGCUCCCCAUGCCGUGGCAUCUAUUCAGCAGGCUCCCUUUUACUUGUAUGGGACAGAGAGCCCUGCACACAGGUGCCCCAUUUCCCAAGGAUCUUUUUAAAUGUGGGAGGAAGAAGUUCAAUGUGAAGAUACUCUCUAACCCUUCAAAGGCAAUCUGUUUUGAAGGCAAGAAUGAUGGAGUAAUGAGGGCAUGAGCAAUGACUUUGGAGACACAAGUUCUGUCCCCGUCUCUGCCCCUACUCUCUGCAGCACUACAGGAAAGCUCUUUGCUGUCUCGGUUCCUGAUCUGUGCAACAAGUGUGAGAGCACGUUCAAUCUCACUGUCGUGUUGUGAUAAUAAUACAGUAACUGUCCCAUGACUGGGAGCUGUGAUGACAGGAGGGGGAAGGCCACACACUGGCCUCAGAAAGGUUACACCAUAAGAUGAGAUCACCCAGAGAGAAUGUUUAGUUUUCCAAGACUGUGGAUAUAAGGAUGCAGGGGGGAGGUGCUUAGUCCUGGUUCUCAGAAGAACGGUGCUUUCACUAUCAGCUCUUAAAGAAAGCAUAUGAGGAAUCAAACUCAGUUGUUCAUCGUAUGAACAAGAUUUCUAAGCAGGAGAACUGACAGCCGAAUGCACACAGUGCCCUUCUUGUCUUGGCAGAAAUGUUGUCAACAACGUGAUGCAGUGGAUCUGUAUACCCUUAGAGAGGAUUCCUCUGCCCAAAUAAGAACAACUGAAAGCCAGGCAUGACUGCUCUGGGUUCCCUUUGCAGCCCUGAUUUAUUGCAUCCUAAGAUCCUUCAGACCUACCAUCAAGUCGCCAGCCCCAAAACACUCUCUCUGGAAACAAAACAGCUAUAAUGUGAAGAAAAAGAAUGAGUUUCAGGCUUCCAUCCCUCACCAUAGGGCUGCUGUGAUUCACAAGAGCCCACAGUGUUGCCUACAAUAUGAUAGGGGGUUUGGGUUUUGAUUUGGCUUGGUUUUGUUUUCCACUGCAUUAAAACAGCAGUAAUAACAGUGUCAUGGGACCAGCACCAAACAGAAGAAAUCCUGGCAAGUGAAGCUGUGCUCAUGUACGGCUCAAAAGCAACAAGGAAAGGAACUGUCCAGAGACUAAAGCAUUUUCAUGUUAAGACUUAUGAUUUAAUACUUGUUUAAGUUAAACAUUAAUAUGGGUAAAGUAACUUUCAAAACAGAGCCAGGGCAGAGUUGAUCCAAAAGUCAACAGAACAAAAGAGUCUGGAGAAAAACUCUGAGCCAAACCACUGAAGCUGAUAAUGUCUGGCAAGAACAUUCACCUCGGAGAAGAGCUUGAGGACAGCAAAACUCAGUACGAGACAGAAAUCAGACCUCGCCCCUUGCUGCCUGUCUCUGCCUUUAUUCUGACCAGAUGUGAAAGACUCAUGGUCUUGGAGGCCUGGGAUAUAAGCAGGCUGCAGGGUCAAUGAUUGCUUCUGCACUAAUGGAUUCAGCCUCCAGCCUGAGGUGCAGCUGACACAAGGACAGAAACCUUCAAGUGACUCUUUUUGGCCCAAACUGUAUUUACAGAGUUGAUCUUCAGCUUGCCAGCUAUUAGUUGUACUUCAGCAAAUUGGAGAUGCUUCCUGUCAUCCAUCAGUGUACCCAUGUUCCAUUAUUCUGGGCUAACAGCCUGUAAAAUGAAACAGCAAACAGAGCUUCAUUAAAACAAAGUAAGACACAUCCUCAGCUGGCAGGUUUGGGAGAUGAGGAAUCAAGCCCCAGCGGUUGCUCUUCCAGCUUCAUCUCUGAGGAUCUACAUGAGAAACAGGAUAAAAGUCCUCUCAGCUCUACGAACCUCAGUUUAUACAUUCAUCAAGUGGGGGCACUACUACUCAAGAGUCCUCAUAAGAACAUUAUGGAAAUGAAUUGCAGUUUAUACAGCAGUCUGUGACCUUGGGUUCUUCUCUGCAGAGCUGCUUUCCAGGACUCAGCACUUCUUGUUGAACUCAGGGAGGUUCCUGUCAGCCCAACUCUCCAGCCUGUCAAGAUGGCUCUGGAUAGCACCACUCUCUGGAAAUGGACUCGGACUUCGUGUGCUUGUUCCAUGGCUUACUCAGAUAGUCAUGCAGGAGCUGGGAAACAGUAGGAAGGAGCAAGGCAUGGAGCAAAGUAGAGUAUGAAAAAUAAGAAAGCCAUCCUUAAGUGGUGCAUGGAAACAGUGAUGGAUUCAAACGAUUAGCAAAACUAAUGAACAGAAAUCUGUCAUAUUGCUGGGCAAAAUGUCACCACGGUAUGUGACUACGAAUGACUCAAUUGCUCUUUAAAGGAAUGCUUGCGUCUCUCAUGAUGCUGGGAAUCCUAAUUGACUAAUACUUUCAAAGCACUUGGAGCUGCUCAGAUGAAAGACUUCCCCGAAUGCAAAGUAUUACUACAUGUGAGGUUCAUGUCUGGAGCAAGUUUUUAAAACAAACCAUAUGAAAAGCAGAAUUAAGAGUGGAAAUGCUGAUCCAGCCAUUAUUUACUUCCCAUCGGAGAGUGGGCAGAGGGUCUCCUUUUAUGUUGUUUAUUUCAAACAAACAACUCUGGGAAUCUCCCGUGGAAAAGAAAUGCAAAAACCCAUGCCCUUUCAUGGGUAUUUUUGGUUUAUCUCCGCAUGAAUCUGAAAUUCAUCAUGUGGAGAGAAUGUGGAGAAACAUUUUUUUCCCCUGUAUACACACUCACUUUCCCACAAUGAAUAAAACCUGUUUUCUUGCAGUGUUUGUCCACUUCUUCACCCAAGGGUAACAAAAUGACCCGGAAAGCAGGAACACCCUGUCCAUGAACCCUGCUGGAAAAUAAAUAAAUAUAAAUCCAUACAUUCAUAAAUAAAGACACAGAAAAAGAGGGAUGACUCGGAAGGUUCCCAGGAAAACCAGCUGUGUCUAAUGCCGCCACCAUGGACACACGAGCCCCAGAGCUCCUAAUUCCUCAGCUAUUGCUCAGCAGUGAGUCAGAAGCUGUCACUGGGUGACUCACAGCAACUCCAGAAUGCAGCUGAGCUUGUGUCACCGGGCAGGCAGGCUUCGGGGAGUCUGAGUGGGGCAGGGGGGGCAGUGUCCCUGCUGUUACUCUGCGCUCCAGUGACAGCUGCUGGUAUGCAGGCUGCCGUGGCAGAGGUGAUGGCACAUUCAGUUCUCCAAAGGCACUUUGCUUACGACGCCGUCAUCUUUUCCACCCUCCUUCCAGCACACACGCGUACACCUCACUCUACCUGAUUUAACUCUUCAGCUACGAAGAUUUCCCUGCUUGAGAUACGGCACCUAAGGAGGAGUUGGCUUUUGGAUGAGGCCCUUCUCUGGCUGUGUGGAAGUACUGAUCUAAAUCUGCACUGAAGGAGGCAGACAGCUACCACAAGAGGUAACGAAGCUUCUCCGUACCUCAGUUUCGGAACUGGAAUGAGCAAGGCAUUCACACCACACUUACCACAAGUUUUGGGAAAGGUCAUUCAUUCAUUUUCUUCUGCCACCCAAAAUUUUAUUACACUACAUCAGCAAACUGACAGUUGAACAGGUGACAGUUUGUCUUGGGAUAGAUGACAUCACUCUGCUCUUGUUGGUUCCAAAUUUGUUCCCAUAACACCUGGGUGCGCACUGAGCCCUUACAGACACUGCUAGUCAGUUGCCAAAGAAGAGGAGCGUAUCUGUGAGAUAUGCUUGCCUUCACAGCUCAGUUUCAGUGAAAUAUCCCAUGCUGCAUAAUAUGAAUAGACACAUCACCCAUGCACUGCUUCUUGAUGCAUGAUUUCAGGUGGUAUAUUAGGUAUAUUCCUUCCCAGGAAUAGUGGUGAUGCAUUGGCACAGACUGCCCGGGGAGUGAUGGAGUCACCAUCCAUGGAGAUGUGGCACUGAGGGAUGUGGUCAGAGGGCAUGACAGGAAUGGGCUGAUGGUUGGACCAGGUGAUCUCAGUGCUCUUUUCCAACCUCCAUGAUUCUAUGAUUUUUCCCAUGAAAAUGUUUUGGCCUUAGCAGGUCUUCAGAUUUUAGACCUUAUAUAUAUAUAUACAUAUAGAAUCACCAAGGUUGGAAAAGAUGCCCAAGAUCAUCUAGUCCGACUGUCCAAUUCAAGCCUCUCUCUUUUUUUCCAGCUAUUCCCUAUAUUACUGACUGCAGUGAUCCUGGAUACAUCUAUUUCGCUAUCAGCUUUGGCCAUGGAGUUUUUAAGAUUCUAAGGGAGUGUCUCCUUGUUGAAGAAGCACUCCCUUCAGUCUUUACUGCUUGCAGAUUUCACUGUGCUGUGAUGAAUUGCCUUGCUCAGCCCUGGAAAAUGAACAUAUUCAUCAGCAUACCUCACGCCAAUAGAUGUUAGUGGCAGUAGUAUGAAAUCCCUAAGGAUGGGCCUUUGCCUUGCUGCAUCCUUCCCUCCUAUUCUAUAAGUUACUCAAAUUAGUUCAUCUUUGAAGGCUCAUCAUUGAUGUCAAUCAGCCAUUUUGCCCAGUGCACCAUUUACAAUAAUCUAUGCUUUUCCCAAACAGUAAAUGGCAAUUGAUAAAGCAUUAAUUUUCCCAUGCAGCAUUCUCCCUGUGUUGAGAAUACCACUGGAAGCCUCCAAGAUUCUGCAUGGCUCCUCUGGCCUGUGCUGAUGUGCUGGCAGCUACUGCACGUUACAGCUGUAAGUGAUGGCUGUUCUGCUUUUGCCUUCUCAUUUAUACAGCCCCUUUGCAAUGUCAGAAAUCCCCGCUGUGACCUAAAGGAUUUCUCUUUGCCAAAAAAGAGCCCUCCUCUCUGGUACAGUGUUACGAUUGCUGUUUUCUCUCCCUCUUUUAUUAAAAAAAAAAAAAAAAAAAAAAAAAAAAAAAAACCCUCUCUGUGAUCUGACACAAGCUCUGGCAAUGUGUGCUGCAGAAGUUCAGAUGUUACCAGAGCCAGCUGUCCAUCCCCUUUGCCAAAAAUUCAUUUCCCAGAGCAGAGUCAGCAGAAGAGAAUACACACCCAGUCCCCAGCAGCCUCAGGGUAAAGCCCAGCUUCAGCUGAAACUUGUCUGGCCAUGACUUUAAUGAUAGGCAGCAGUUCUGAUUAGUAAAUGAUCACAUUGAUUAACAUUCCUUCACUCCAGUCCUAUGGCUGGGUCAUGUAUGCAGACUGUGCAUUGCCCUAACUGUUAUCCCCACCCUCUUCCAAUGUAUCUGGGAGAUGUCUCAGCAGACUACCUAGAUUAGUUGGCUUUUAUCCACUGAAGAUUUCCUACUCUUCUAUUAAGUGGCUUUUUAAGGUGUUAAUCACAGAAUCAUAGAAUCAUAGAAUGGCCUGGGUUGAAAAGGGCCACAAUGAUCAUUGAGUUUCAACCCCCCUGCUAUGUGCAGGGUCGCCAACCACCAGACCAGGCUGCCCAGAGCCACAUCCAGCCUGGCCUUGAAUGCCUCCAGGGAUGGGGCAUCCACAGCCUCCUUGGGGCAACCUGUUCCAGUAUGUCACCACCCGCUGGGUGAAAUCCUGGUUAAUCUUUGGUUUGCCUUAUGUCUGCAUAAGGCAAACACUCAAGAAAAAUGUCAGUACAAUCACUCAGGAAAAAUGCUUUAUGUUGGAAUCAUAGAAUCAUAGAAUCGCUAAGGUUGGAAAAGACCCACAGGAUCAUCCCGUCCAACCAUUCGCCCUUCACCAAUGGUUCCUGCUAAACCAUGUCCCUCAACACAACAUCCAAACGCUCUUUGAACACCAGAACAAAGUAAUCAAGUCAGUGAUACCAGUCUGUUAAAGAGAACCCCUGCUCGUGUAAACAAGAGGAAUACUGGUGGUGUGAGAAGAGCAAAGUGCAUCGUAUCAGUCAAAACUAUAGGCUCGCUGACUUCAAAACCGGUUGUCCUCUUUUAUUUUAAUAAUCAUAAGAGACUGAUAGUGUCCUAACAUCAGAUCCAGAGGUUUCUGCAAGAUUACCAUGGAGGUUAUAGAACCAAUGGAAGACUUGAAGAACAAAUGGAAGCUUUGCAGAUGUUUGUAUUGCCAAAAAGGGGUAUUUAAUGAAAAAGUAUUGCCGAGGACAGUUGUUUAAUGAGAAAACCAACAUUUUCUGCUGUACUUAUAUAAAGAGUGUGCUUUUAUGGUCCAAAAUGUAAGAAAUCUGACCCUUUUUUCUUUUAUCACUGCAUAGGACACAAAGCCUUGAUGCUGACAGAGGUUGCAUGUGGUUUUGCUGCAGGCCAGCAGUCAGCCCCAGCGAUACCAUCCAGCCCUGCCCUGCUGCCGACCUUUCCUGCCACUUCUCACUUUUCAUUUGUUUGCUUUCUUUAUCAGCCCUGGCCCUUGUCAAUACAAAGCACAGAACUGGGUGUGUGGGAGUUAGGGAGGAGGCUGCAGCCCUCUGUGAACUGUUAUUUUCGGACAGAGAUUGGCUGCAGUCAUUUAUCCCUUGCCAAAGAGUUUAAAAACGGCACGCUUGCUGAUCCAGGUGAUUUUACGAGGAGGUGGUGCCUGCCAUUUCCCAUCACAGCUACUGAUUGCUAAUCAUACAGCUGAUAUUAUACUGCGGACAGCUGAGUUAAAGGGAAUUCCCGUAAGAGCCUCAUGCCAUACAGAUAACAGUUUCUUUAAGAGCCUGAAAAUUCUCAGACAGGUGAAUUUUUCCGCUCCAGGUUGGAUGGGGCCAUGGGCAGCCUGAUCUAGUGGGUGGCAACCCUGCCCACGGCAGUGGAGUUGGAACUAGAUGGUCUUUAAGGACCCUUCAACCCAAGCCAAUCUAUGAUUCCCUGAUUCUGUGAUUCCUCUUACUACAGUUCAUGUUAGUGGCUUGGCUGUUAGGAAGAUAAUCCUUGGGAUUAGGGUGAGGACAGAGUCAUACAUAAAUAUAGCAAAUGGAAAACGCUCCACUUGUCAUUCAUAAAGCUCUCCUUCUAGGAACGGAGGGGAUGGCUGCCGGUCACAGAGAGCAGGGCAAACAUGUCUCCUCUGUGCAGUUUGGUGUUUUUUUCUGAUUUUGUAGUAGUCAGAAACUGCAAUUUUUUUGAAGUCGCCUUUUCACACAUCUAAAUGAAACCUUAAAAAUCAGUUUGGCUAAGAAGGUAGUGAGUAUGAAGUAUAAAUUAUCAUCCUUCAUUAGAAGCUUUUCACCCUGCUUUAUCCCUUCAUCGUAUAGACUCAUGUUGCCAUAGAAGAAGCAGCAAUGUCAGAACAUGACUUAAAAUAAUUCCACUGAUCAAGUGUUAAUUGCACUCUUGUACAAUCAAAGCAGACUGCUCAGGAACACGUUAAGCUUACCUUUGUGACAGCAAAUCAUUGCCAAACCCUCCUUUGGCCAAACUCUUCUGCAAACACUGUUAUAACAGUAAACAUUUUAUUGGCUCAGAGCUGGAAGGGACCAUUAAAACUCUGGUUACCAUAAAUUGUGACAUUUGUUGCACAGCAGCUGUACAUGUACAUGUUCCCAUUGCCACGGCAGAUGCAAGAGUGAAGUGGGUUAACCCAACUGUCUGUUCGCCUCAAGGUAACUCAGAUUGCUGCAGCGUAUUUUCACUUGUAAUUAAGCUGCCUCAAACUGCCCUCAGAGCAGCAGUGAUCGGGGAUGCGCAUGGAUGCUUCAGGUGGCACAAUCAUUUUACCCCUCAGUAACCUGUGUAAUGGCUUUUGUUCAUGGUCUGUGUCUUUGAUCGCCUUCUUGACUUCUUUAAUAUCACAAGGCAUUAUCAGGAUAUUUCAUCAUUUUGCGGGUUGCAAAGUCUCACUCAGCACCAUUUUUAUUAAUCCGUAGUGUUAAUGGAGUCUUUCAAUGGCAAAGAGUUUUCCAGCAAAAAUAAGGGAUCAGGACGGGCUUGUGGCCCAUUACUAGAUGCAAGGUCAAUUGUGCUCCUUCAAACGACAAUCUGACUUCUAAGGAAAAAGAUUAUGCCCAUACUUUCACCGUGUUAGAUGUAAAAAUGUACUCUUGCACUGUACUGAGAACUAUUUUUGCAUUAAAAAUGACUAAAAUGUGUAGCUGCAUCACAGCAGCAUUCUAGUCCUAUUGGAGCUAAUUGUGAAACCUGUAAUGCCUUCUAGCAGAGGAAGAUCAAAACGUAUGCAUAUAAACAAUACAGUGUUUAAAUAAAUCCAAGUUAUAAGCAUAUGUUUCACUAUAAAUUGAUUCUGUUGAUCUUAGAAAUCAAGAUGUCAAAUAAUGUGUUUUCCUCUCUGUACUGUCCAUUACUCUUCAGGUAUUUAGACACUGAGGGUCAUGCACAUGCAUUACAGGGUUAAUGCCAUGCUCAGGCCAUUAAUAGUAAGAUGGCAAGAAAACAGAAGAAAAAAAAAACACCAUUUAUGUGAGACAAGACAGGAGAAUUUAUUGACUGAAGUGUCUUUAUCUUCAUGUUCAUUUUUCAUUUUAAGAGGUGUAAGUAUAAACCAUCAUCAUUAUCAUUUAGAACCAAUCAAAGCCAGGAAUGACAUCCAAAGGUCUGAUUAAGGCUUUACUUGCAUGAUGCAGAUGGGUUUUGUCUUGAUGACAGAUAAAUCCCUCACUACUGAAGAAUAACAUCAUCAGAGCAGAAGUCAGGGAAAUAAACUGUGACAAAGAGAGCCAGUGAUAGAUGGCCAAGUGAGCAAGGGACUGACAGCAAGGACAUAUGGAUCCAGUUCUCAGCUCCAUCACUGUCUGAGUAUGUGACCAUGAACAAGAAGCCUGUGCAUAUUCCUUCAUCUGGAAUGUCCAUCAGACAAUAUGGACUUAGCACAAGAGCACGUUAGUAUUCCAGAAAAAGAUUUUGAAAUUUACCUCGUGGGACAGGCUGCAGUACUGAAGAUUUUUAAAGCCAUACAGGAAUUGGUGGUCUUGGGAUCAUCUGUGGCUAUUGGUCAGUUACCUGAUGUCUUGUAUUUGUUAGAGGUGAACAGAAGGAUUCUGUGACACUGCAUCCAGAGUUGACAUGUGAAUCCUUGUGGACUGAUGAUCAAGUAUACAAUUUCUUGUAGCUGGGAAAGGUUGGCAUGAUGCCUCAUCCUGGAAGCAUUCAAGGGUUGAUGGGGCUGUGAGACAACCUGGUCCAGAGGGAGGUGUCCCUGUCUAUAGCAGGGGGUUGGAAGUAGAUGAUCUUAAAUGUUUCUUCCAACCCAAACCAUUCUAUGAUUCUAUGAUCUUUGUAGAGCCUUCAAACCCCACUCGCUGUGUAUGCUGAAUAUAUUGAACCCAUACCUUCCUAGAAUCAUAGAACUUAUUGGGUUGAAAGGGACCUUAAAGCCCACCCAGUUCCAUGGGCUGGUUGCCCCCCACCAGCUCAGGCUGCCCAGGGUCCAUCCAACCUGGCCUUGAGCACCUCCAGGGAUGGGGCACCACAGCUCUCUGGACAGCAGUGCCAGGACCUCACCACCGAGUAAAGAAUCUCUUCCUAACAUCUAAAUCUCCCUUCUUUUGGUUUAAAGCCAUUCCCCCUUGUCCUCUCACUAUCAGACCAUGUAAAAAAGUUGGUCCCUCUCCUGCUAAUAAGCUCCUUUAAAUACAGGAAGGCUACAGUGAGAUCUUUCCGGAGCCUUCACUUCUCCAAGCUGAGCAAGCCCAGAACUUCUGCCUUGAGUAAAUGUUUAUCUAGAAUGCAUGUACUUUACCAUAUAAGCAUUACACUACAGAUACUCUCUCUCUAUACAUAUAUGCAUCUUUAUGUAUGUUUUAUUCAGCAACAUGGACAAGAAUACUACAGCAGAUGAAGAUGUUGUUGCCUUACGUAUGAGGAGCUCACCAUAACUAACUGUGGUCCAUUGGGCUCCAGAAUCUUCUACUACACUUAGUUUUUCUUGCCACUGUUUGUAGUAGGGAAAGGUCUUGAUCAAAUUCAUGGCCCCUAUUGUGGAAAGUCUUCCUGUGCCACAAUGAAUUUAAAUGAAAGUCUGCAUGAAUAGCUAGUAUACAGUCACUGCAAAAUGGAACAAACCAGCUGCACAAUGCCAAGAAUUGUCAAGGCAUGUGGUUUGGAAAACACUACAAUGUAAGUUUAUAGCUGCAGCUCAAUUCAUUUCCUGAGAGGAAAGAUAAUGCUGUAGAAGAAUAGACACUAUACGGUCCCUCUUUAUGUGGCAUUCAUCCGUUAGAAAGUUUAUUUCAUUGGCAUUCUUGUAGAUGUCAAACUGCUAAACGCAAGGCUGCAGCACAAAGAAAUUUCUUAAAUUACUGGGGGAAUAAAUUAGCUCUUAUAACAUGCUUUGAAAUUUCAAUUGCGUUCUGUAGCAAAAAGCAAGUCCCCGAGUGUGUAUAGAAUCCCAUUCCACGGACCAUUGUUUCCUUCCUGCUGCUGAAAAAUAGCUUAAAUAAAAUCCUACGAGUUUAA